rnacentral:lncRNA from 1 species
GUAUUGUUGUCUCCAAGCCAGACCUGAUCAUCUGUCUGGAGCAAGGAAAAAUCCUUUGAGUAUGAGGAGACAUGAGGUGAUUGCCAAAUACCCAGGUGGGUGCAAGUGAAAGUGAAUACAACAGACGACACAGAUGGAGUUUCCCUCUUGUUGCUUAGACUGGAGUGCAAUGGUGUGACCCCAGUUCACUGCAACCUCUGCCUCUCAGGUUCAAGCAAUUUUCCUGCCUCAGCCUCCCAAGUAGCUGGGAGUACAGGCAUCUGCAACCACACCCAGGUAAUUUUUUCUAUUUUAAGUAGAAAUGGGGUUUGACCAUGAUGGCCAGGCUGGUCUUGAACUCCUGACCUCAGGUGGUCUACCUGCCUCGGCAUCCCAAAGUGCUGGUAUUACAGGCAUGAGCCACCACAUCCGGCCUUGUGUAUUUUGGAGAUAGUGUCUCACUCUGUCAACCAGGCUGAUUUGCUCGGUUCACUGCUGCCUGAAUCUCCCAAACUCAGAUGAUCCUCUCAUAUCAGCCUCUCAAGUAGCUGCAUUACAAGUAUGUAACAUCACACC